CUUUCCCAUUUUGUUUAUCCCUUGCUGGGUUUUGAAGGAGCCUGUAAACAUCUGGGGGGAUUACAUCUGGUUUGGGUUCUGCCUGAAAUUCCUGGGAGUUUCGUUCAGUUGAGCGUUAGAACGAAACCAGCAGCUCCCCUGGCAGGUUCUGCCUCGGGAUUUUCCAAAAAUAAACUGUGCAUCCCCACACUUCCCCCUCUGACACUUCCCUGAGUUUCCAUGGAAGUUUCCUUGUGUGGCAAACAGCUCAAUGAACCUCGAGUUCAGUGAUUCCCUUUUAUUUUCUAUAUUGUAAAAGGUUGAAUGUCUUCAUUUUCCUGCCAGAAAAUCGGCUUUGUAGGAAUAUUCCAUUAAAAACCUUGGAAUGUUUUUGCAUGGAUCGACAGUUUUCCAUGCUGAUCCUUUCUUUGAGAUAAAAUUCAGUGAUAGGAAGUGGUUGAAUGUUUUGAGGUGGGGUUUUUGUGUUUGGUUUUGGUUUUAUUUUGGGAUUUACCUGUGUCAUUCCCUGCUCCAAUCCCAGCUCUGCACUGCACAGGUGUCCUUGGAUUUGAUUUGAGAUCCCUCAGGCUCUGGGCUCCAAGUCCAGAUCUUUGCAGCUUUAAUCCAUGUGCAAAUCCAUCAAGCUGAGGUCCCUGAGAUUUUGGUGGGUGCUGACCAGACAGACCCUUCCAGCAGAAGGAGGGUUAACUCCUGGAGAAAGGGGGUGGAGAGGGAAUCCCAGCUUGGAACUUGAGACUUUCCAGCUGAGAAAGAAAGAUUUGGAGAUGCAGACGUAAUCCCAGAGCUCUGCAAUCAGCUCCCUGUCAAAGGAAGUCGGGAAAAGCACAAGGAAAACUGGCCAGGCGCGCUGGGUGCAGGGCAGGACACAGAGCAGCAGUGCCACCACCUCCUCCAGGGAAUUUGUGCUGUUCCACUUGGAAAAACAGGAUUCCCUUCAGGAAACUCCCUCAGGAGUGAGAGAUCUGAGAGCUCUCAGCCCCCAGGGCCUCCAGGCAGGAUUAUUGACUGCACACUGUGGGAAUUCACCUCCUGAACACCUGCACCAGGAGAGUGGAGCCUGCCUGGUUUUCCCUGGAUUUGGGAGUGUUUUCCAGCGGGAUGGAUGGAGUGUGUCCCGAGGUGGAGGAAUGUGUGUUAAAUAAACAGCCAGCCUGGGCCCUGCUCACGGAAGAUCCCAGGCAUUGGCAAACCAGGGUGGGAAGGGCUGGUGCUGCACCUCGGCUUCUCCUGUUCAUUGAUUAUGAAAAGUCUUUGCUCCGAGCUCGGUGCUGACUCCAAAGUGGAAAGGCAGCGCUGAUCCCACUGUCCCGACCAAGGGAGGCACCAGAAUCUUGGGAUAUUCCAUCUGGGUAGCCCAGCUGGUGCCACAGGGUGCAGGGCUCAGAGCUCUGAAUUUCUCGUGACACCAGAAUUAUCUCCUGACAUUGUACCUGCACGCAAAGGCUGCAGCAGCAAUUCCACGUUCUUAUAAUCCCCCUGCUCGGAUAAAAAUCAGAUGGGAACAAAUGUGCAGCACACGAGGACUAAAGACUUUUAUUACAAUAUCUUUUUAAUUAUCAAGGUGGGGAAUCACGUUUUACAAAGUCCAAUAAAUUGAAUUUUAUUAUG